rnacentral:rRNA from 1 species
GACGAACGCUGGCGGCGUGCCUAACACAUGCAAGUCGAGCGAAUGAAGUUCCUUCGGGAACGGAUUUAGCGGCGGACGGGUGAGUAACACGUGGGCAACCUGCCUCAUAGAGGGGAAUAGCCUUCCGAACGGGAGAUUAAUACCGCAUAAGAUUGUAGUACCGCAUGGUACAGCAAUUAAAGGAGCAAUUCGCUAUGAGAUGGGCCCGCGGCGCAUUAGCUAGUUGGUGAGGUAACGGCUUACCAAGGCGACGAUGCGUAGCCGACCUGAGAGGGUGAUCGGCCACAUUGGGACUGAGACACGGCCCAGACUCCUACGGGAGGCAGCAGUGGGGAAUAUUGCACAAUGGGGGAAACCCUGAUGCAGCAACGCCGCGUGAGUGAUGACGGCCUUCGGGUUGUAAAGCUCUGUCUUCAGGGACGAUAAUGACGGUACCUGAGGAGGAAGCCACGGCUAACUACGUGCCAGCCGCCGCGGUAACAC